UUUCACUUUCUGAAUCCCGUCUUUUGUCUUGUUUCUUGUAAAACACAAGGACGCCCACUUUUCUUGUAAUAUGUCUGACAAACGGUGAGGCAACGGAACAUUUUCAUCGACGAACUUGACCAGAAAACAGCCUGUUUACCAGGGGUAGGGGCAGCAGUGUUCGCCCCUCGGCUCGACCUCUCAGAGUGACCACCUUGCUCCUCAGCUUCUCCAGGUGCCUGUGGAUGUCAUCAGACACCACCCUCGGCCAGGCCUCGUGGUUGAGACCGUUGGAUAGCACACACACUAGCACCUGUAUGAAGAGGUGUUCAAAAGUGUCCCUCCAGGUCCGGUGAAGAGCAGCAGCCUGUUAGUCCAGAUGUGGUCCAGAAAAUCCAGUAUAAUCUUCUGGUUCUCAUCAGCACCAAUGAAGCGGUUCCACUUAUCUGUCUUCACUCGCAGCACAUAGAAGGCCUGCUCCCGAAGGAAGUCCACUCUCUCAUCUGACAAAACCACCCCGGCUUUGAGAGUGGGCUCCUGGGAGGCACGCACUCCCCCAGCCCCUCCGCUGCCUAAACCUCCACUGCUGCUUCUCAUGCUGGUGGCUUCAGCCAUGAAGCUCUUAGCGAGCAGGAAGCACACAAAAAUGUGUAGAGGAAUGUGAAGUAAGAAAAGAGUAUCACCUGCAGUGAGGUAACAGGUAUGAAAAGUGAUACACUUCUUGAUGGGCAGGUGACGAAGCACUACGGACAGCCUUCAUUACCCUGAAUGGAGGUGGCUAUUUAUGUAGCCUGUGUGCUCUGCAAUCCUAUCCUGUAACCUGAGCCUUCAGAGGAGGCCCAACUGCAGCAACUACUCCA